ACAGUGAGCGUGCGGACUCUUUUACAAAAGUGAGGAAACGCUACGGCACUGGGAAUGCAUCAAGUCUACCAGCUGAGGCGGGUUGAUGGGCACCCGUUGCAGUCACAUUCCUGAGAAGUCAGAACCUGGCUUGACAUCAAACCUCUUUCUUGCUCUCCUUCUCUCAACAGCGGCAGAAAAUGCACAAAAAAACCAAAACAAAAAAGCAAUUGGAGACUCUCAAAGUUUAUCCAAAAAAAAAAAAAGCGGAAAUGGCAAUUCUCAGCAAAACAAAGGCUUCUGGCCGCUAUCACCUACUAAUAACAAUAGACGAAAUAAACUCUUUCAAGCAUUAAAUGAUCAUUUACACUGUCUUUAUCACUUCACUUUCUGCAACUUAUAAUGAUUAUCUCUGAUGAAGGAAAAAAAUUCACUCAUCUCUAUCUGGAUGAAACAGGGUGGCUCGGCCAACAAACAUGAGAUUGCGCCAUCGAGGGGAAUGAGGAAUUACAACACUUUUGGCUCUGUACAUUUUAGGUGGGCUACACAUACAUAACCAGCGUUUUGGUUUUAAUGGACUGCAACCUCCUACCAGAGAGAAGUGACUCAAAAAGUUUAUGUCCGGGAUGCAAUGGGUCAGCCACAAUCCUUUCUGCUCUCCUCGGGGUCUUUUUACUGCUAUCCUCAGGGACAUGUGCAGGUGCUGAACAGAUGGAAGGUUGCAGUCAGUUAUCCUCUCGGCAUAGCGAAUGAUGUGCUGCAGUUUGCCCUUGUCCCUGGCAGUGGCAGCAGCAUACCAGACAGUGAUGGAGGAGGUGAGGAUGGACUCAAUCAUGGCGGUGUAAAAGUGCACCAUUAUAGAGAUAAAGGAUGAAAAAGCAAAGGAUUUUACCAAAGGACCACAAGAAACGUGGCUCUUGAACCUUUCAAUGUGAUGGAAUGGAGCUGAAUUGAAAAACACUCGAGUUUGCAGUGAUGACUUCAUAAAAGGGGGUGCCAGGUCUGGUCCAGUGGAUGGAGCCAUGCGAAAUGGAUUUUACUCACAAAAAGGCAGUUUUGUGUGGAGGCCCAAUGUUGCAUUCUCCUGACUUUUCUCUUCCUUUUGCACAAAAGCACAAAAUAUGGAAUUUGAUGGUAAGAACAUAUCUUUUUUUUAUUGUUCAAGAAUUAUUAAAACAGCAUUUUUCACAAAUUGCUACUGUCAUUUAACUGGUUUGUUUAUAUUCUAAACGGAAAUGAUUUUGUCGGACAUUUUGUAUAAAGUUUAUAUUUAUCGAAUUUGCCAAAAAAUAAAAAAAGCUCUGUUUCUCAAAAUCCUAUGAAUGUGGAUAUAAUAAAACAGCUAUUCCACUCAAUCUCAUCAUACAUGGCACACACACCUCGUUGGCUAUCAGCUCAUGUACAACUCGAUUUUGUGGAAUAACUGUUAAAUAUACUGCAACCCUGAUAUAAUGAACUCUUGUACUACAAACUUUUGCAUGCAACAAACUAAGUUCAUGUCCCCCACAUUUAGUGACAAUGAGUCAGAGUCUUCAAAAAACAUCAUUGAGCCAUGUGCUCAUCUUCCCACCAGAGACAAACAAUAAGUAAUGAAGUCCGGAGUCAAGUUAACAAUACAUGUUAACACAAUAAAACAAAGGUUUAACUAACCUCACUUAGGUGUCAAUUACUAAUAAUUUUUGAGAACGGCAAUCACUGACUUCAAACAAUCCCUUAAAAGCAAUUUAUUUUAUGAGCUAAAAGCAGUUUUAUUCGAGUCUUUACUCCCUAAGCAUUGUUGUCAUGGAUACUUGUAAAUGUAAGAUACUCUCCGACUGCCUGAAAAUGCAGGUGAUGGAUGUAAUCGCUGGAAGCAUGUUAUUUAAAAACAUGCUGGCAAACAGAUCCAAAUCAGUGAUCAAAAAUUAGUCAAAAAACAGGCAAUAGUCAAGCGAGGCACAGACAGGAUAUCAAUGGUGGAGACAAAAGGCAAAAUCCAAAAUAGAGUCUGAAACCAGAAUUUUAAUACAGUCCUACAAAAGGCUUGGUAACGUGAGACACAAGGGUACAGUGUGUAUACUUUACAAAGUCUGUGCAUAAUGAGAACCCUUGUAAGUGCACACUGUGAUUGCACUGUAAUCUGGAACAGGUGUAUGGAAAUUAAUCUUAAUGGUGGUCCGCUUGUGUAUGUGAGUAGCAGUUUGAGCUGCGUGUGCGUGGAUAUGACACCGUCAAAGACAAACUUCAGAUCUUAGACCACCUAAAGUGUGAUGAGAAAGCAAAAUUUUGUCUAAAGAAUAUAGUAUCCCAAAAAAUUCAAUUUCAACUUUUAAAGCAAAAGAAAAAGAGCUCCGAGACUUUGUCCAUAACUGCAGUCAACACGAUGGGCUGAAAAGAAAGUAGAUGCAGCAAGCAAAUGAUGUUGAGUGUGACUUAUUUCCUUUACUUCAUAAAUAUGUAAGUAAAUUAAAUGUAAACAUAAAUUAAACACAGUUGGUCUUGUUUUAUAUAAGAGUGAGUGUUUGGUUUAACAACUGGGUCCAAUUCAGUAUUAUGAUCUUUUUGGUAUAAUGAACUAUUUGAAUGCGGCCCAAGGAGUUUGUUGUAGCAGGGUUGCAGUAUAUUACUGUUUGUUUUAUUUUGAUAGCUCUGAUUUUGAAAGCUGUCUUGAAUCUUGACUCUUGAAUCUAAUAUGUCAAGUUAAAUAAGUUUGUAAAGAUUUUAAAAUACAGCAAUGACUUGUGGCCACUUCGCCUAGAAGCAGAUACUUGAACCAUAUACUUCGAUACUUUGUUUGCUACAACAUCAGUAUUAACUUAUCUCACAGACAUCCCACAACAUUAAUUGUAACUAUAAAUGGAUAAAAGUAAUUCUUUAAUGAAUGUAAAAAUUGUAAUUGUUACAUUGUUACUGUUACAUGAAAAUACACUCUGUGGUGGUAACAUUAACUCCACUUCAUUUCAGAUUGCAUCACUCACUACCCUGUCACUGAUUACUUUCUUAUAACUGCAUACCUGGCUACACUACUGAAUCCUAGUCACUGAUACAGUAGGGUCAUUCCAUGCCAAAUCAACAAGAGGUUAUGC